rnacentral:piRNA from 1 species
UACAGGGUUGGAUAGGGUGAAAACGCGUUGU